GACGAACGCUGGCGGCGUGCCUAAUACAUGCAAGUUGAGCGCUGAAGGUUGGUACUUGUACCAACUGGAUGAGCAGCGAACGGGUGAGUAACGCGUGGGGAAUCUGCCUUUGAGCGGGGGACAACAUUUGGAAACGAAUGCUAAUACCGCAUAAAAACUUUAAACACAAGUUUUAAGUUUGAAAGAUGCAAUUGCAUCACUCAAAGAUGAUCCCGCGUUGUAUUAGCUAGUUGGUGAGGUAAAGGCUCACCAAGGCGAUGAUACAUAGCCGACCUGAGAGGGUGAUCGGCCACAUUGGGACUGAGACACGGCCCAAACUCCUACGGGAGGGAGCAGUAGGGAAUCUUCGGCCAUGGACGAAAGUCUGACCGAGCAACGCCGCGUGAGUGAAGAAGGUUGUCGGAUCGGAAAACUCUGUUGGUAGAGAAGAACGUGGGUGAGAGUGGAAAGCUCAUCAAGUGACGGUAACUACACAGAAAGGGACGGCUAACUACGUG
rnacentral:rRNA from 1 species